ensembl:lincRNA
AAUUUACCAGUGACAAGGUUACAGGCUUGUUAUGGCACCGUGGCCUGGAGCCCAGGGCUCCCCGGGACCUUGGGGAGGGGGGCUGGGAGGAGGGACGGGAGCACACAAUGGUAGGAAAUGCGCUGGGUAGGAGUCAGCUCUUCCUCCUGGCUCAGGCCUUCUCCGCAGGUCUGCAAAACCGACUUUCCAAGCCACUUGUCCAUCUCUGGGCUUGGGGCAUAGUUCUACUUAAUUCAGUUUAGCUUUUUCCCCCCAUUGAGUUCAGCAUUUUCUCCCACUCUACUUUCAGAUAUUUGGGGGGGGGUGCUUUCACAACUAGCCCAAUUGUUUCACAAUCACAAUGCAGCUUUGUGAGGCUGGACUAACCGGGACAUCUGACACAGGCGAGGAACUUUAGGACCUUGUUUUCUUUGCCUGGCAGCAGGCCUGUCAGGCUAAGGCUGGAUUCCUACCUUUGCUUUGGGACACAGUGCCCCACCUAGCUCUGGUCUUCUUGGGGAAGGAUGUGAGGACCACCCCCCCCCCAACGAUGCAUGCCAAAUGAAGACUGAGUGCAGUGUCCAGGCACUGAGAGGUGGGGGUGCUGGGGCUUCUCUAUGAGAGGAGAUGGUGGAAACCUCUUGUGGAUGCGGGGGUCCUGGCAGAAAGUGGAUGCCUGGUGCCGAGUGGGCACACAGGAUGGUCUGUGCUGGAAACGGAAAGGAUGAAACAAACCCCUAUUUUGCCACCUCCAUUGAAGCGACUCUGAGCCUACGUGAGUUCAAGUGGUAAGAUACAAUUAUGAAAAUAAGAAAGAAGGUAAAGAUAAAUAAGCAAAAGAGGACCCAAGAUAAAGAUGCAAACUGACACCUGAAAUUUUGAUUCUUCCAAGACAGGCCAUUGUAAAAUGCUUAGAAUCAAAGGACUCAUCAAGCUGGAAAGGAUCAGAGAGGUUAUUCUGAGGAGUAAACUGAGGCCAAGAGAGCAAGAAGAGUUCAUACAAAGAGGACCUUGUACACGUACCCAUCCUACCUCCCGUGGACCUAGAAUGUCACGUGUCCUUGAGCCCUACGGGUCAUUUGGUUCCAAUUUCCCAUUCACACAAGCGUCACGAGUUACUGGACUUCUCCAGGACAGGGACAGAGGGACUCUGCGCUCCUGAGUCCGAUCUGCCCACACAGAGCCCACCUCCCCCCGUGGAAGGCCUCGGUGGGGGGGGACCCUGAGAAGGCAGCAUAUAGGAGAGAACCCAGAACUGUGAAAUGCGAAGCAAGGGCACCUUACACUCCUGCGUUCCUCCUUGCAAAUGCUUGGCAACUGCUAAUCAUUCAUUUGGUUACUAAUUAUACCCUGUACUAUGACCCCUCAGCCUCUUCUGUUUGGAACCUUACUUACACCUUUUAUUGUUGAUUGACUUUCCUGUGCUGAGCCAAUAAAAGCCUGCACAGGCCUUACAGACAAUGAACUUAGGCCUUGAUACUGUCUCCCCUCUCCACUCCCAAGCCCAGCACUUCUGCCACCCUGCCCCCUGCCAGUCACACCCUAUCUACUACCUGGCUUUAUAGGUACCAGGCACUCGAUAAAUGGUUGUCUUUUAAAAGCACUGAGCUUCCAGCAGAUAUGUGGAGAUGUGGCUGCUGAUGCAUGAUGACAGAGAAGAGCUGGACAACAGAGCGAGCGGCGUGUGUCCAGCCCGGUUUCCACUCUUGGAUCCACAAACCAGCCUGUGACAUUGAAGUGCUUUUCCAUCUCUGGGC